rnacentral:lncRNA from 1 species
CUCCUUAUGAACACCAGGAACUUGCAUCAGUAAUCGCUCAGCAUGUCUCCUGGAAGCCUAGCCACUGCUUGGAGGACACAGAGAUGCAGCCUUUAGUAUAUGCCCAGUAAAGACCAAGAAACAGUAGUUGAUCCCACAGGGCCUGCAAGAAUGGAAUGACCCCUCCUGGAACUGCACAACUUCCAUCCUGUCCUCUCUGAGAUGCUCACACCAGCAGCAGAGAAAUGCAAAGAGCAGUAAAAAAACAAGUGAAAAGGAGAUGGCAGCAUCCUGAGCUGGGUACAGGCUCAGCCGCAGCAGUUGCUACACUGAAAGGCAACAGAAAAGGUGUGAAUGAGUGUGAGAGCCUGAAAGAUGUGAUCCCCUACGGGCAAGGGAGACCUUUGCCAAAGUAAAAAGGAAGACAGUGAAAAGACUGAAACCCACCUGAGUGCAUCAGUCAGCUGGAGAAAUAUCGCCUUUCCAUCUAACAGGGAAGUUGCAGUUCAGCAUUUCUUUGGCUUAAUAAUACGGUUUAAUAUGAGCCAGGUUCUUGUGGCUUGAAG